rnacentral:piRNA from 1 species
UGCAUUGUUGUUCCUUAGACAGGGGCUGUGU